UGAAUCCUUUGGACAGAAAAGCACACUUCCAAUAUUUCUGCUACAUCUUAAGUAUCUAUAUGUGUGUGUGUGUGUGUGUGUGUGUGUGUGUGUGUGUGUGUGUGUGUGUGUGUUGCAUUAAAACUUCAAAUUCAUCAAACUCUAAUAUCAGACAGCUUUUCUAGUUUCUCAUUGCUCAUGCUAAGGAGCACACAGACUUGUUCACCAUGGAAAGAAAUAGGGGUACAGGGUCUUCUUAGCAGAGGGUGAGACUCAGCCACAGACCCCAACACAUGACAUCACUUCCUUGGUGACUGGUCCAAACAGAACUCGGAACCCUACAGUCAAUAGGCAUCACAGUCACGACUGCUGCUUAAGAGUCACUUGGCUGGAGACGCUCAGCAGUGAACAUGCUGUGCUGCUUUCCCAGAUCUCGAGGCCGCAGCCUCAGGACCCCUCGCAGGGAAAGCACUUGGGAACGAGUGAGAGGAUGGAUGACUAAGUCCAGGCGCAACAGGCCACUGGGCAGGAACCGCUCAGCCCACGUGGGCAGCACAGGGCAGGUCUCUCCAGACCCAGAGGCCUUGGGCCCUGAGAUGAGGGGGAGCCAUGGGCAGGCCUCCCUGGGCCUGGAAACCAGACACUCUGAGAAAGUGAGUCCAGGACAAGAACAUUUAGGCCUGGACACCACUAUUGGAAAUCAGGAGGCGGAGAGCCUGGCAGAGGUCUGCGCAGUGAGGACGGCUCAGACAGGCCGACCACACACCCUUUCUGAGCCCCCGGAGCAGGCCUUCCCGGACAGCUGUCCCAUCAACGGGCCCUCCUUCCAGGAACCCACAAGGGCCUGCAUUUCCUCCCCACAGGAGGGGAGCCUAGAAAGCUCCAUGUCCUCUGUCAUCGAGUCCUUCCUACAGCUGCAGUCCCAGGUCUAUCACACUGGCACACUUCUGCUGGCUCAGCUGGAGCGCUACGAGCCCACUGAGACAGAGCCCAAGCGUGAGGAACAAGGGGCAGCGGGGCCAGCUCCAGCCGAAGCCGAAGUGCCAGUUGUAGAGCUCACGUCAGCUCCACCUGCAGCAGCUCCCUGUCCAGCUCUGGCAGCAGAGCCACAGCCAGCGCCAGGAACCCCUUCUCCACCAGCUGCCCAGCUGGGGCUCAUGGUAACUCCUCAGCUCCCCCUGGGGCCAGCUCCUGUCCCACACCUGCCUUUCUCCUCCAUUACCAGGGCUUUUGUUUUGUUCUUUACCUUUGCUGCCAUUUUCUGGAUGUAUGUAAAUUAUAGUUAUUUUUAAAUAAAAGUUAAGGUUUGACUGUUGUUUCAAAUGUCAGCUUGGUGGCAUGAAGUGAUGUCAUCGUAUUAGGCACCUGUCACCGCUGUUCAGGUCCACAGCAUUUUCCUCAGUGCGGUACCCACAAGUGACUCCACCACUCAUCUUAUGUCCCCAUAAUUUACCUAUUCUACAUUUUUCACAUCAUGCAAUCAGAUUUCUCUUUGGCCACCAAAUCCUGGAAGGGACUGGAGAAUCUUCUUCGUGUAGAAGGGGAAAUCUAGAUACAUCCUUGGCAUUUUUCAUUGACCUGCUCGGUAAGUUAUGCAGUUCUUCAUUCACACAGGAAAUAUUUAUUGCAGUAAAAUAAGUAAUGCAGUGUGAAAGAAGAGUAAAAGAUGACGCAGUCGCAGUCAUCCCACCCGGAAGCCUGCUCCCCACACCCCAGGUCUCCCCCUUCAGUCUGGAUCUCGGGUUUCAGGCUGUGUCUUGGCUCCUGGGGGCUGGGGUGUCAGGCCACAGCUCCCCUGUCCGCUCAUGUGGCACUGGGGACAUGGCCCUGCCAUGCUCCGUCCCUUGGCACUUUCUGUGGCCACAGUGACAAGCAAUGUCUGCCUGGGACAUUUUCUGAUUUUUCAUGCCCAUGAAAGAGCUGAAAGAUCAUCUGCAUCUCUAACACUCAUUUUCUUUUUCCUCAUUGAGUUUAUUGGUACAUUUUAGGUGUAAAGUACAGUAACAUUCAUUAUUGGGAUCUUGCACCUUGACAUGACAGAUCUUGGUUCUCAUUUUUUCCCCUUGUUGUAACCCUCAUUUUUAAAGAUGGAAUCCUGCCAGUGGUUUUUUCUGCGUUACAAUUUCAGAAGCAUGGGCAGAAACAGGUUCA
rnacentral:lncRNA from 1 species